UAACCUAGCUAUACUAUUCAAUAUUUUUGUGACCAUACAUGUAGUUUAAUGCAAAAAUGAGAUUUAUAACACUUUAUGCUCUAUUCUGUACUACUUGAUUAUUACAAUGUCAUAAUAGGUAAUUGGUUUAGCUGGUGUAUUUUCUCUUGAUCACCCAGAAAGAGCUAAGGCAAUGACGUGGACAAUGACUGGCCUUUCAACCCUAUCACUAUUAAUGCUCCUUUUUUAUUUUGAGCAUUACAAAAGACUAAGUGUGGACACAACA